rnacentral:rRNA from 1 species
AAGGAGACUUCGGUCUCUGAGUAGAGCGGCGCACGGGUGAGUAACGCGUGGAUGAUCUACCCUUGAGUUCGGGAUAACGGUGCGAAAGCGCCGCUAAUACCGUAUAACAAUCCAUUUCAUCGUGGGUUCAAAGCAGGCCUCUUCAUGAAAGCUUGCGCUUGGGGAUGAGUCCGCGUCCCAUUAGCUUGUUGGCGGGGUAACGGCCCACCAAGGCUACGAUGGGUAGCUGGUCUGAGAGGAUGAUCAGCCACACUGGAACUGAAACACGGUCCAGACUCCUACGGGAGGCAGCAGUGGGGAAUAUUGCGCAAUGGGGGAAACCCUGACGCAGCGACGUCGUGUGAGGGAAGAAGGCCUUCGGGUCGUAAACCUCUGUCAGAAGGGAAGAACAUCCGGGAGUCGAACAGCCUCCCGGCCUGACGGUACCUUCAGAGGAAGCGCCGGCUAACUCCGUGCCAGCAGCCGCGGUAAUACGGAGGGCGCAAGCGUUAAUCGGAAUCACUGGGCGUAAAGCGUGCGUAGGCUGUUUGAUAAGUCAGACGUGAAAUCCCUCGGCUCAACCGGGGAACUGCGUUUGAUACUGUUGAACUAGAGUCCUGGAGAGGGUGGCGGAAUUCCUGGUGUAGGAGUGAAAUCCGUAGAUAUCAGGAGGAACACCGGUGGCGAAGGCGGCCACCUGGACAGGUACUGACGCUG